GAACCUCAUAAUUCGUAUUGACAUUCGAGAUAGGAAAAUGAACCACGAAGAACCAAAAUUAUAAAUCCCCACCAAGUAAAAACGGUUAACAACAGCGAAACAUAAAAAUGAACAAAGGUGGAUUCUUGAAUCAUGAUGAUAAUUAAGUAUAUAGAAUGUUAGUAGACUUGAAAACAAAACCAACGAUGGAGCCAGGGGAAUUUCGAAACGAAACAUAUUUUCAUUAGUGUUGUGUGCGCAUUGGGGAAGAUAGUACAAUAAGAGGGAAACCAAACUCGAGUUAAACGAAAGAAGAAACUAUUCGAGCUUCGACAUAGUAUGGCAUUUGCCUCAAUUUCAGACGCGGCUAUCACAAAAUCCUUUGCAUAUGACAUCAUUUUAGGGUAUACCAAGUCCCUCACAGCAUGUGUUCCUGCCAUCAAGAACAAUAUAUAACAAAUACUGAGUUCUUGAAUCUCAAUGCAUCUCUAACGUCCCAUUAGGAUUCAGAGCAUGAUAAGGUUAUGCAAAAAGCAAAUCACAAUCAGAGUAAAAGAGCAGACCCUGAUGUGCAAGAACUACCUGAACCAUGUGAUUAUUAGAAGUAAACUAAACACUUAAAUCAGAAAUACCUAAGAAUGAGAGAAAAACACUGAAGCAAGAGGCGUGGAUCUGGUGAAAGUGAAAUGGGGAAAACACCAGAACUGCAUGAUUAAGUAAAGGUGGAAUACAAAAGUCCAGACAACUUACUAAUAGGUAGGUAAGAACACAGUGAAAUAGCAGAGACCAACAUAAAAGUUUACUGAGUACAUUCUACCACCCCCAAAGUGCAUGUCACCCCAACUCCACAAUAAUAGAAAAUAGGUAUCAAAGCAAGGAAAGAUAAAACACCAGCAAUACUCUACAUGCAUACAUAACACAAGAGAUUAGGUAAAACAUUAUGCAGUUGGAACUGGACCUAAAAAGUUAAAACCCAGUCUUACAACACUGUUAUAUAUGCUCGUAAUAACCCACCAAGUGCAGAACUUGAUAAGAUAACACUGAUGAACAGAAGAACAUAGCGAAUAAUGAAUCAUUUGUUACAAAAAUUGAUAAGAUGUAGGUGUCGACCCUAAACUCAGAUUAGUAAAUCACAAUCAAGACAAUAUAAGCUGCUUAUUUUACAGGAGCUGAACCAGAAACCCAUAUCAAUAUACCACAACCUGAUACAAGGUGCACAUGGCCAUAGCGAGAAACAGAUCUGGUUGGGAUAUGGUACCCAGCUUCCGUGUAUGCUCGUAAAAGAAGUUCAGUGCGUACCGAAAUAUCCCGGAAAAACAUACUCGCAGCAGGAAAAGAAAACAGAAGAAAGUAUGAGAAAAAAGAGAGUGGCCGAUGAAACAGAGGGCACCACUGGAACUGGCAUGAAGAAAAGGGGACAGCUAUUAUAUAUGAGAAAAUUGAGGGGAAGACGAAAUAGAGAAGGGAGAAUGACCUAAAAGGAGAUAGGAGGACACCAGCCCAUAGGCAAGGAAACACAAAUAGGAAAUCAGUUGGCAGACAGGGGAAGCGGAAAAAGAAGGAAGGAAGCAAACCUCAAAGUCAGUCUAGGAGAUUCGCCAGAUUCCCAAGCGCAGAUGAAGAUGAUCGGGCGGGGUUUUCAGGUGAGAGAUCGUAGAGGAGCAUUUUGUGUUUGGUAGAAGAAAGAACCACAGUGAAUGGGAGGAAUAAAAGCACAGGUGAAUCAAAACUAAUUCAGGUCAUAGGAUAAAAUCGGAACUGGUGGAUAUGAGUACGGAUUUGAUAUAUUUAUUAUUUAUUUGUUUAUUCGUUAGAUUUUAUUUAUAAUUAUUUAUUCUGUCUAAAUGAGAAUAAUAGGAAAAUCAUCCCUUGUCCAUUUAUGGGUUUUGGGUUUAUCCAU
rnacentral:lncRNA from 1 species